GACAGAUCCAAUUCCCCAUCAACUGCAGUUGUUAUAAAGAAUUGGCUAGGGACGAUUUGGUUCUAUAGAUAGGAUUGCUUGCUCUGCUCCCCUUGAGAUUCAGAACCACACAUGGAGGAUCUGGUGGAUCACAGCAGCUGCAUGUAGCUUUUGAUGAGAAAAAUUCCAAAUUUCAAUUGUUUCCUGGCAUAAAACCUUUCACGAGAAAAUGAGUGAUGGGGAAGAAAACUGGGGAAUAUCUUCCAGAAUCCCUCAUGUGUUGGAGAAGUUAAAAUAAGCGGUGCUUCUGAAUAUUUGAUCUCUGAAACAUGUUUCUCAUCUCUGGCAGGACGGCGAUCAUGGCGAAGGACGCCUUGGCCUUGAUGGAUCAUUUGGGGUGGAAGAAAGCACAUGUCUUUGGCCACUCUAUGGGAAUGUGUCAAGGGCAUAUCUUCAACAGGAAUGCAAUCUAAUCGUGGUCUUGAAGGGCAAGUUAAUGCAUGCUGGACUCACAACAUGAUGACUACAAAAGAAUUAGAGACAAUACGCUCUGCCGGUUUUCUAAUUUUAGUUAUUCAUGGAAGAAAGGCUUCUUCCUACUGCUAGAAUGGUACAACUUCAUGGUGCAGCUCGUCUAUCUUGCCGCUUGCCGAGCCCUCAGUUGUAGCCAUUUGAACAAAGGUUAAUUUGGUGUCCAUAUGGUAAACCGCAAUGGUCUCCUUGCAAAAGUCAUACCGUGUACGCAAAGGACGGUAUACAUUCGCCGCCUUAUGAUUCAGAUACAUCGUGUUUUCGAUCAUCUGUGCAUUAUGCUGGGCGAGGUUAUUUCUACGGUACCUCUACAACCAAGAAAGCAACUGAAUUCUCCACUGACGGUAUGCAUUAGAACUCUUGUAAUUUCUCUGCACUCCUACAAGGCUUUGAAUUUAACAGGUGUGUUGCUAUACUCUGCAUAUGCUAUCCAUCUCACACUUAAUUAGGGAGGGACCUAGGUGCAAAGCAUUUGUCCUAUUAAGUUUUGCAUUUUAUUUUAUGUUUCAAUCAGCUACAAGUUAUAAAAGCUAUGUAAAAUCAAGAUUCUCAUAACUCGAUCUAUGGAAUAGAUAUAUUCAAAUUCAAAUAUUCAGCAUUACAGAUUCAGUUUCUGCAUCUAUAUCCAUUUUACAUAUUAUUUUUUUAAUCAUUUACUUUCAGACACACUGCUCCAAAUCUCAAUUCCAUCUGUAUAAUAAUAUUUGACAAACCAAAUCAAGCAAAGGUUUAUUACCACCGGUUCAAAUCCAUGCAUCUGCCUAUAGUCCUAGAUAACCACGUCUGUGAACGCUAUUGUCCAUUGUUUGUACUCAUCUAUCUAACUACAAAGAAAAAGAAAAAGAAAAAAAAA